rnacentral:rRNA from 1 species
CUUUCCCUCUGGCUGUAGGCCUAACACAUACAAGUCGAACGGCAGCACAGUAAGAGCUUGCUCUUACGGGUGGCGAGUGGCGGACGGGUGAGGAAUACAUCGGAAUCUACUUUUUCGUGGGGGAUAACGUAGGGAAACUUACGCUAAUACCGCAUACGACCUACGGGUGAAAGCAGGGGAUCUUCGGACCUUGCGCGAUUGAAUGAGCCGAUGUCGGAUUAGCUAGUUGGCGGGGUAAAGGCCCACCAAGGCGACGAUCCGUAGCUGGUCUGAGAGGAUGAUCAGCCACACUGGAACUGAGACACGGUCCAGACUCCUACGGGAGGCAGCAGUGGGGAAUAUUGGACAAUGGGCGCAAGCCUGAUCCAGCCAUACCGCGUGGGUGAAGAAGGCCUUCGGGUUGUAAAGCCCUUUUGUUGGGAAAGAAAAGCAGCAGGUUAAUACCCCGCUGUUCUGACGGUACCCAAAGAAUAAGCACCGGCUAACUUCGUG